GGGAUGUCGGUGCCCUGCCCCAAUGCCCUCCGUCACAGGCUCACCCAUCCCCAUGCUGCUCUGAGGAUGACCGUACCCCACCACUGUCCUGUCUCUGGAGAGCUGCCCUUGACUAAUGGAACCCUCUGGAGGGGGGAUGGGAGAACAGAUUAAGGAGAAAAGAUUGGAUGGGGACACAUCAGUAACAUAGGGUGAAAAAGAAAUCCACGGCUCGAGAGAUGUCUCAGCUGGCACGAUGGGAAGACUUCUCCAGGGACAUUUAGUUUAGUAAUGCAUCUACAGUUUAAGAGGAAUAUUCUGUUCUCUUUUCCAGUCUCCUGUGUUCCCAAAUACUCUUGGUCCUUCUCAGACUCGGGCUCUGGGGAAGAAGAGGGAUCCCACUGAUGCUUCUGGAAAAGAGCAAAGAUAGAGCAAGGAUGCCAAGUGUGUGUGGGGGGAUCAGUGCUCUACUCUGGGUACUUUGACGGAUUCCUGGACCCUAUCCCAAGCCGAGAGAGUUAGAAUGUCAGAGAGCUAUGCCCUGGGAUCUGUGCUCUUUCAAAGCUCCCCUAAGUGAUUCUGAUCGUCGUCUUGAUUUGGAAACCACUCGGGCCACUUGUCCCUGUGUUGUCACCCAUGGACUUGACGGAGAUGCUUACCAUGACCAAGGUUUGGUCUGGGGUAUGAUCAGAUUGAGUGAGCAAGGCUGAGGCUCAAAGAUGCCAGCAAGAAGGGGAAACCAUGAGAGAGACAGACACUUUUCUCGACUGGAAGCAGAUGAUCUAGUCAUUCAUUCAACACCUAUUACUGAGCACCUCGGGUAUACCUGGUGCUUUUCUAGAUGCUAGGGACACAGCCGUGCACAAGACAGACGAAAUCCCUGCUCUCGAGGACAAUACAAUCAGGGAGCUAUGUAAUAAACCAGACAAACACAGGGCUGCUCUACAAGGCGGGGAUCUCGUUUUGU